CUCAGAUAAAAAGCCUCUUAAUUCCAAAUCACUCUGCCAGCUAAUUAUUAUCAUCACUCUGGUUUAUAAAUACAAAUUGCUCCCAACAGAAUUUAUGAGAAAUAAUGACUCUGUCGUGUAGGUGGAAGAAAAACCCACUCUCCCUGAAUUCAUGCCUCCCUUGCUAUGAUGUUUUGAUCCAUACAUUUAUUUCCAAAUAAUAUAUGUAUGUGGUAACCUAAUUAUAUAAAAGCCCUAAAGUGGCAUAAGACUGGGGUGAGCUCCAGGUUCCUGAACCCCUAGCACACUGCAGCCCUCUUCUGCAAGAAGGACAAGAGUUAAAUGGGGGUUGAAGUGUAGUUUUUAUUAAACCCCAGGAAAGCUGUGUUCCUAAGCCCCAGGUUUCUCUGCUAAACUGUUUUAGCUCACUCAGGAUGUCCAUACCUGUCCUCCUUGAAUCUAAAAUAUCUAGGCAGGAGGAAUGUCAUAAGCUGAAUGUAUGUGUCCAUCCAAAAUUCAUAUGUUGAAAUCUAGAUUCAAUUUAAAGGUAUGCAUGGGAAGAGAUUUCAGAGGGUAAUUAGAGCAAGAGGGCAAAGCUUUGGUGAAUAGAAUUUGUGACCUUAUAAGAAGAGACUUCAGAGAGCUCCCUCCCUUCUGCCAUGUGAUGUUACAGCACAAAGACCAUCUGUGGACCAGGGAACAGACAUCAAGCCUGUUGGUGCCCUGCUUUUGGAAUUCCCAGUGGCCCCAGUGGACCAGAAGCACCAGCAGCACCAGCAGCACCGGCAGGAGUAGCACAGCAGCGGCAAGACACAGUCUCCCAAGGGGCCUAUGGAACCAGCAGAUUAAGGCUCAGGAUAAAGUGGAACAAAGAGACAAAGAUGAUGAAUGCUAAGCCAUCUCUAAACUUAAAAGCCUA
rnacentral:lncRNA from 1 species